UAGUGCGGCCUCCGCUGGCCCGCUGGUAACCCCACACCGCGGCCGAAGCACCGAGCAUUUGCUCUGGUAUAGACAUCUCGUAAUGGGGCUUCCUGCGCUGGGGCUAAGUCACAUUACAGCCGCUUGAAACUGAAACCAAGCGGAGGAAUCUGUGUGCUGUCGAUAUACCCGCCCUGCCGCAACCCCCUUCUCUCGUGUCGCUCCCGCUGUCAAGACAACAACAUAAUUCUCCCACCAUGCCCUCCCAUCCCCAAGAUAGAACCCUUUCUCUCUCUCUCCGCUCCCUUGAGGAAUUCUGGUCGCACCAUGCCGCCCAACUCCACUGGCACAAACCCCCUUCCGCCAGCCUGCGCCGGAGCAGCAAGACGCUUCCUGCCAGCAGCGUCACCCACGAGCACUGGUCCUGGUUCCCGGACGGCGAGAUCUCCACCACCUACAACUGCGUCGACAGACAUGUGCUCAGCGGGCAUGGAGACGACGUGGCCAUAAUCUACGAGUCGCCCGUGACGGGUGUGAGGGAACGGUAUACGUAUGCGCAGCUGCUGGACGAGGUCGAGGUGUUGGCCGGCGUGUUGAGGGAGGAGGGCAUUAGGAAGGGGGAUGUCGUGUUGAUUUAUAUGCCAAUGGUUCCUGCUGCUCUCUUCGCGGCGCUCGCCAUAGCUCGGCUCGGCGCCGUCCAUGCAGCCGUCUUUGGCGGGUUUGCGGCAACGUCAUUAGCUCAGCGCAUCGAGGCCUCGAAACCACGCGCAAUCAUGACCGCUUCCUGCGGCAUUGAGGGAACUAAGGGCGUAGUGGAUUACAAACCUUUGGUCGAGGGAGCCAUAGGCAAGAGCGCUUGGAAGCCACAGAAAAUCAUUGUCUGGCAGCGGGACCAGUUUCGUUGGAAACCCAUGUUGAAACUGGAGGGCCAGCGGAACUGGCAGCGGAUUGUGAAGAGUGGGAGGGCGAGGAAUAUCAGAGCUGCAGCUGUUCCCGUGAAAAGCAACGACAUGUUGUAUAUCAUUUAUACCAGCGGAACAACCGGCCUGCCGAAAGGUGUCAUCCGGGAAGCUGGUGGUCACGCCGUUGGCCUCAAUCUCUCCAUAAAAUACCUCUUCGACAUCAAAGGCCCCGGAGACGUCAUGUUCUGCGCCUCAGAUAUCGGUUGGGUAGUAGGGCACUCCUACAUUCUCUACGCACCACUCCUCGCCGGGGCCACUACAGUACUCUACGAGGGCAAACCCGUUGGCACGCCUGACGCGGGCAGCUUCUGGCGCAUAAUUGAAGAGCACAGGGUAAACACUUUCUUCACCGCGCCCACUGCGCUCCGAGCAAUCCGCAAAGAGGACCCAGAGGGCAGCUACCUCGAACAGGUCGGGAGCCGCGGCGGCCUGAAGCACCUGCGCGGCUUGUUCCUUGCUGGCGAAAGGAGCGAACCCAGCAUCGUCCGCGCCUAUCAAAGUUUGCUCGAUAAGUACGCCGCCCCCGGCGCUAUGGUUAUUGAUAACUGGUGGUCGUCAGAGUCCGGGUCGCCAAUGACAGGGCUCGCGCUGCGCAGUGGCAUUGGUUUGGAACAUGGGAGCAGAGACGUGCAUAAACCGUUCCCUGUCAAAGCCGGGUCGGCAGGCAAGCCGAUGCCGGGCUUCGACGUGCGCAUCGUCAAUGAUGAAGGGGAUGAGGUGCCGCGUGGCACGAUGGGGAAUAUCGUGUUGGCGAUGCCGUUGGCACCCACAGCGUUCACGACGCUAUUUAACGACGACGAACGGUUCUAUAAGGGGUAUCUGAAGCGGUUUGGCGGGCGGUGGGUGGACACAGGGGACACGGGAAUGGUGGAUGAGGAGGGCUAUGUGCAUGUUAUGGCGCGGAGCGAUGAUAUUAUUAACGUGGCGGCGCAUCGGUUUAGUACUGGGGCAAUCGAACAAGCCAUUCUCUCCCACCCAGACAUCUCCGAGGCAAGCGUCGUCGGCAUCCCCGACGCUCUCAAGGGCCACCUCCCCUUCGCCUUCGUUCAACUUCGCAAAACCUCCUCCCCUUCCUCACCCCCAUCCCCAAGUUCCAUUCCCGCCACACCCCCGCAGUCCUUCUUCAAUUCCGUCAACGGCCUCGUCCGCGAGCAGAUCGGCGCCAUUGCGUCGUUGGGCGGUAUGAUCCAGAGCGGCGGUGAGGGCAAAGGCAUGAUUCCGAAGACGAGGAGCGGAAAGACGCUUCGGAGGGUUCUGAGGGAGCUUGUUGAGAAUGUGGUUGAGAAGGGGGACUUCGAGCGGGCGGUUAAUGUGCCCGCGACGGUGG
rnacentral:sRNA from 1 species